GAUGAACGCUAGCGGCAGGCUUAACACAUGCAAGUCGAGCGGGGGAAGGUAGCUUGCUACCGGACCUAGCGGCGGACGGGUGAGUAAUGCUUAGGAAUCUGCCUAUUAGUGGGGGACAACAUCUCGAAAGGGAUGCUAAUACCGCAUACGUCCUACGGGAGAAAGCAGGGGAUCUUCGGACCUUGCGCUAAUAGAUGAGCCUAAGUCGGAUUAGCUAGUUGGUGGGGUAAAGGCCUACCAAGGCGACGAUCUGUAGCGGGUCUGAGAGGAUGAUCCGCCACACUGGGACUGAGACACGGCCCAGACUCCUACGGGAGGCAGCAGUGGGGAAUAUUGGACAAUGGGGGGAACCCUGAUCCAGCCAUGCCGCGUGUGUGAAGAAGGCCUUAUGGUUGUAAAGCACUUUAAGCGAGGAGGAGGCUACUUUAGUUAAUACCUAGAGAUAGUGGACGUUACUCGCAGAAUAAGCACCGGCUAACUCUGUGCCAGCCGCCGCAGUAA
rnacentral:rRNA from 1 species